rnacentral:rRNA from 1 species
UACGUAGGUGGCAAGCGUUGUCCGGAUUUAUUGGGUUUAAAGGGUGCGUAGGCGGCUUUGUAAGUCAGUGGUGAAAUAUGGCAGCUCAACUGUCAAGGUGCCAUUGAUACUGCGGAGCUUGAGUACAGAUGAGGUAGGCGGAAUUGACAGUGUAGCGGUGAAAUGCAUAGAUAUUGUCAAGAACACCAAUUGCGAAGGCAGCUUACUAAAGUAUAACUGACGUUGAGGCACGAAAGUGCGGGGAUCAAACAGG